GACGAACGCUGGCGGCGUGCCUAAUACAUGCAAGUCGAGCGGAUCUUUGAGGGAGCUUGCUCCCGAUGAGGUUAGCGGCGGACGGGUGAGUAACACGUAGGCAACCUGCCUGUAAGCCUGGGAUAACAUUCGGAAACGAAUGCUAAGACCGGAUACGCAGCUUGGUCGCAUGACUGAGCUGGGAAAGACGGAGCAAUCUGUCGCUUAUAGAUGGGCCUGCGGCGCAUUAGCUAGUUGGUGGGGUAACGGCUCACCAAGGCGACGAUGCGUAGCCGACCUGAGAGGGUGAACGGCCACACUGGGACUGAGACACGGCCCAGACUCCUACGGGAGGCAGCAGUAGGGAAUCUUCCACAAUGGACGCAAGUCUGAUGGAGCAACGCCGCGUGAGUGAGGAAGGCCUUCGGGUCGUAAAGCUCUGUUGCCAGGGAAGAACGCCUAGGAGAGUAACUGCUCUUAGGGUGACGGUACCUGAGAAGAAAGCCCCGGCUAACUACGUGCCAGCAGCCGCCGCCGUAA
rnacentral:rRNA from 1 species